CCUCUGUCCAGUAGCUGAGGCAAUAGGCCCCAUCCUGCUAGUUCUUACUAAAUGGGAUUACAAGUGGUGGAGGGGAAGGGGUUAAUAGUUCCUGAUGCGCAAUACCCCAGCAGCCCUAGGCCUAGCCCUACAAUGAAAGUGCAGGAGGAAGAGAGCCCAGGAGAUCUCCCAAGGGUGAUAAAUGUGGGCCAGUCAGCACCAGCUCAGCCUGGAUCGCUCCAGGGCUGAAUCCUCUACGGCCACUCCUCCGCCUGAACCUCCUCAGUCUCACCUGGAACAGCUACUGCAUCAACCAGCCUCCUGCCACACGCACCCCAGGGCCCCGUUCCUGCACCCACAACCCCUGGCACCUGCAUGGAGCCAGCUGCAGACUCAGGCCCUGGCUUGGCAGCACCUCUAGCCUCAAGCACAUCCAGCUGCAAAGAACACCAGCUGUCUUCACAUUCCUGGAUGGCACCUCCCAUUCUCUCAGGGUCACAGGCUUUAACGCAGCCUCACCCUGUCGCCAUCUCCCUUCAGCGCAGGUACUCAGCUUUCACUUUCUUGGCUUUUGUGAUCUCAUCAUUUCGCAAGUUCUGUCACCAUCAAAUCUUUCCAAGCUAGGCAGGACUUGAAUUGAAUUGUGAAAAACAAGCAGAAUUUUUUUUCAAUGACAAACCCCUUCAGACCAUCUUUCUCCAUCAUAAAGAAGCAGUAAAAGAACACAAGGCCAAUGUAUUGUACCCUUUGCCGGGUCACCUUUGGGUUGUGACCUGGAGAGAGGCUGGGGAAGUCUCAAUCCAUGGUUUCUCCUUUGGCUGGUAUCAGCCCUUCCAAGAAAAACUGAGUCAACAUGAUGGGGAAAGGGUUACAGAAGUUUCCCCAGGAAAGAGUAUCCCACCUCUAGUGAUUAAACUGAUUCUAUCCGAUCUGCUUUGGGGCGGAUGGGGGCAUGGUAUGAAACCUGGACUCUGGUGUGUUGUGCAGCAAGUCAGGCGGUAUUAAGGCAAAAGCAACUUCAGUGCAUUUGAUUUUAUAUCUGUCCAAGCCAAGUGGAGUGAGAUCAUGAAGACUGCAAACCCAUGGAUGGAAAACCCUUCCCUGGCUGCAGCAUUCACAAGGUGCUAGCACAAUCCCGAGCCUUGGAGUAAGCCAGUGAUCCCAGGCAGCGCGCAGGAAGGGCACAGUCUCAGUUGGGUACUUACCAUGUACGGAGCCGUAACUAGGCCUGGGACGAGCAAGCCUACUUGUGCUCCCUAUCGUUUUGUUUGGUCAUUUUUCCGACCCAUUUUUCCACCCCCGUGGCUUUGCACCCUGGGCAGCUGCCCCACUCGGCCUGCCCUGGUUACGGCUCUGACUGUGCACAUCACAUGUGUGUGUUGCUUGCUUCUGGGGGUCAGGUGCACACUGUAAAUAAAGUUCACUAGCACAGA
rnacentral:lncRNA from 1 species